ensembl:lncRNA
GCUCUAGAAUUGGGGUACUUUGCCUCAGGUACAGCAUCUGUCCUGAAUACAUAGAGAUGGCUGCGUCACACAUGGGUACAUUUGCCUUUCCUCUCUGAUGAACUCCACCCCUUUUUACUGGCAAAGAGGUCUCCUACUUUCUACACACGUAACCAAUCAAACAGAUGGGUUUUGGCACCACCGAAGGAACCACAAGUGCGCCCCAGCUGCAUCUGGGCAUGGUUUUGGUACUAGGACUGGAGAGAUGAGCAGCAAAUGACAGUCCUUACCCUAGGAAGAGAUGGGAGAAGAGAGGUAUCCAGAUACAUUUACCUUUUCUCUUCUGCCAUGCCCCAAGAACCAAGGAUCAUUUUUGAAGUGAUGUCUUUUUUGUUAAAUUGGAAGAAAAUUUUGCAGCCAGGCAUAGUGGCUCACGCCUGUAAUCCCAGCACUUUGGGAGGCCAAGGUGGGAGGAUCACAAGGUGUCAGGAGUUCGAGAACAGCCUGGCCAAUAUGGUGAAACCCCGUCUCUACUGAAAAUACAAAAUCUCAGCUGCUUGGGAGACUGAGGCAAGAGAAUCACUUGAACCCAGGAGGCGGACAUUGCAGUGAGCCGAGAUCACGCCACUGCACUCCAGCCUGGGCAACAGAGCGAGACUCCAUCUCACAAAAAAGAAAAAGAAAAGAAAACUUUGCUUCACUAAGUUUCUCUUGCCAUUAUCUCAUUAAUUCAGAUCUGUACUACUUUGCUGCUCACACACAUAUGUGUUUCUUACCUUAACCUAAACCUUCCCAGCCCUUGAAGUCAUUAUUCUACUCUUUUUUUUUUUCUUUUCUUUUUUUAUGGCACUAGAGAAUGAAAACCUAAGGUCUUAGAAAAUCUUAACUUGAAAAAGUCUCUAACUGGCAUGAUUUGAUUAAUUACUUUUUUCCCCCUAUGGACAAAUAAUUUUCCCAGUGCUAUAUAAUAGAUUUUUAAUAAGUGAAACCUUUGCUGCUGCUUUCCUGGGUUUACAUUAGUUUUUUCCUUCCCUUAAGAAUAAUUUGAGCUUCUCUGAUGACUAUUAAUUUCUAAUAGUGCAGGAAGGGAUGAGCUUUUGAUUUCUUCUCACUCCCCUCCUCACCCUACUUCCAAAUUACAACUAACUUCUAACUCUCAUAGCGUGUUGGCACAUAUACAAGAUCCAUGAGACCGUGCUCUUCAGAAGCUACUCACAUCCUUUCUCACCAUGCUGUGGCUCCACUACCCACUUCAAAGGGUGACUUCUUAAUUUGUCACCCUUUGACAAGAGGAGGAGAGUGGAGAGUGGCCUUCUUAAGUUUGCAUUUCUUAAUUUUGUUUUUCUCCAUUCCUGCUUUAUGACUUGGCCUUCAGAUGCUUCCUACUCUGGCCUCCUCCUUUUUUCUCCCAGGAAUUGUUUCCAGGUAACCUGCUGUGUGCAUUUCUCAGCUGCUCUGCUCACCUUUGCCCACCUUCCAGUGACCCUGAGAGCACAGAUCCGAAUAAUGUGGCCUGUGCAGAGCUCAGAGAACUGUGAGGACUACCCAUGCCUGUCAGACUCUGCUCAGGGACAGAGAUGGAUGGGUAAAUGGUGCUGUUGGAGACAUUUUUAUCUUCAAACCAGGCUCUGUUUCAUCCCUGCACUCCCCACCCCCACUCACUCCCCUGAGGGGGGUAAAAUGCAGAAGUGGUUGACAGCAGGAUCUGAUCCCCUCCUUCCCAAGCCGUAGGACCUAUCCUGGAGUGCUGCAGUGUGUGAGAGCUGCUGCUUGCUUGUUUCUCCACCAGGCCUGCUCCAAAUGCUAACCAAUCUCUGGAGCCGACACGGUUGCCUACAGGGUGACUUAGCUCUAGGUUCCAUUAGCUCUCCAAGUGACUGUUUCCACCCAGUACUUUUGGCGCUUGAGGAUCGGGGGAGGGGGGUUAUUUAAAAUAAAUAAAAACCGAGGUGGCAGUAGAGGAUUCCUUUUGCUUUAAAAAUCUUUGGACUAAAAAAAAAAAAAAAAAAAAAAA